rnacentral:rRNA from 1 species
AGACCCGAAACCCGGUGAUCUAGCCAUGGGCAGGUUGAAGGUUGGGUAACACUAACUGGAGGACCGAACCGACUAAUGUUGAAAAAUUAGCGGAUGACCUGUGGCUGGGGGUGAAAGGCCAAUCAAACCGGGAGAUAGCUGGUUCUCCCCGAAAGCUAUUUAGGUAGCGCCUCGUGAAUUCAUCUCCGGGGGUAGAGCACUGUUUCGGCUAGGGGGCCAUCCCGGCUUACCAACCCGAUGCAAACUGCGAAUACCGGAGAAUGUUAUCACGGGAGACACACGGCGGGUGCUAACGUCCGUCGUGAAGAGGGAAACAACCCAGACCGCCAGCUAAGGUCCCAAAGUCAUGGUUAAGUGGGAAACGAUGUGGGAAGGCCCAGACAGCCAGGAUGUUGGCUUAGAAGCAGCCAUCAUUUAAAGAAAGCGUAAUAGCUCACUGGUCGAGUCGGCCUGCGCGGAAGAUGUAACGGGGCUAAACCAUGCACCGAAGCUGCGGCAGCGACGUUUAUGCGUUGUUGGGUAGGGGAGCGUUCUGUAAGCCUGCGAAGGUGGCCUGUGAGGGUUGCUGGAGGUAUCAGAAGUGCGAAUGCUGACAUAAGUAACGAUAAAGCGGGUGAAAAGCCCGCUCGCCGGAAGACCAAGGGUUCCUGUCCAACGUUAAUCGGGGCAGGGUGAGUCGACCCCUAAGGCGAGGCCGAAAGGCGUAGUCGAUGGGAAACGGGUUAAUAUUCCCGUACUUGGUGUUACUG